rfam:Rhizopus oryzae RA 99-880 supercont3.2 genomic scaffold, whole genome shotgun sequence.
GCCGGUUUAGCACAGUGGUAGUGCGUCAGUCUUGUAAACUGAAGGUCGGUUGUUCAAUCCAGCCAACGGGCA